UUUUCUUCCAAAUAGCUAGGUUGAGAAUAAAGCAAUAUAUAAAAACAACAAACACCCUUUCGGUUUACAAUGUGGGACUAAACAUCACAUAUGGAUAUUUUAGUUGGGCUCCCCAAGCAGCUCAUUAACAAUUACUGGGCUCUCAAGAGGUUUUAAUAAGUUUUCAAUCAUAACAAAUCCAAUAAAAUCCAAUAGCAAUUAUGUCUUAAACGAUGCAACUUUUUUUUCUUUUUUCUUCUCUAUUUCUUAGCCUUUUCUACCGUGACCACAAUAUAUAAGCCCUCCAAGAAGAAGAAAAAUAUAUUUUUCCAUUAUUUUUUCUUUUAUUUCUUUUUUCUUCCUUUUCUUUUCUUCAUUUUUUUUCUUCAUUUUCCUCACUUUCUGCAUUCUUUUUUGUUAUCAUGUCUUCUCCCUCGCUGUCUGCCGCAGUAGCCACCCCUGCCUUUUACGCACUUUUCCUCUCCGCCCUCCUCAAAGCAUGCAUGUGCCACCCUCGUUGCCGUCACCAUCCAUGAUCACGCCGUCCACCACAAUCUCACCUCUCUGAUUGUGUCAUAUCCAAGCCCCCGCCUUAAUCUGGUGAAAAUUUAUUAGCAGUCAUAGUUUUUGGUUUUGUUGAUAUCGCCGCCUGAGUCGAUGGAGGUAUGGGCAAGAUAGGCGAGAGGAGUAUGGUCUUGACGUGAAGACAAUAGAGAAGGAGAGAAAAGAGGCGAGAGGAGAAAGAAAGGAAAGGAGAAGAUGAGGAGGAAGACGAAGAGAGAGGAGAAAAACGAAAAGAGAGAAACGAGAGAAAACGAGGAAUAAGAGUAUUUUGAUUAGUUUAUUAAAAAUUCAGAUCGUAUAUGCAAAAUUCAAAAAAAAAAGAUGUAUUUUUA
rnacentral:lncRNA from 1 species